UACAGGGGGGGGCAAGCGUUGUUCGGAAUUACUGGGCGUAAAGGGCUCGUAGGUGGCCAACUAAGUCGGACGUGAAAUCCCUCAGCUUAACUGGGGAACUGCAUCCGAUACUGGAUGGCUUGAGUUUGGGAGAGGGAUGCGGAAUUCCAGGUGUAGCGGUGAAAUGCGUAGAUAUCUGGAGGAACACCGGUGGCGAAGGCGGCAUCCUGGACCAACACUGACACUGAGGAGCGAAAGCCAGGGGAGCAAACGGG
rnacentral:rRNA from 1 species